UUAAAAAUAAAUUUAUUUAUGUAUUUAUUUAUUCAUUUAUUAGAUAGAGACAUAGAGAAACUGAGAUAGAAGGAGGAGACAGACACCUGCAGGCCUGUCUCAAUGCUCCUGAAGCCUCCCCUUGCAGGUGGGGGCUGGGGACUUGGACCCAGGUCCUUGUGGACUGAAAGUUGUGCACUCAAACAGGUGCGCCACCAUCCAGCCCUCACUUGGAGAGAUAGACACCUGCAGACCUGCUUCACCGCUUGUGAAGCAAUUCCCCUGCAGGAGGAUUUCAGCCAAGAACCUAGAAGGGUAGAAGGAACAUCAUUUCCACCACCCCCCAUCAUCCUUGAAUGAAUUCAAGAAACAAAGCCAGAACAAACUGGAAGCUGAAAUUUUUGUUGUAACCAGAGGCUCCUUGCUGUCCAUGAGCUACACAUGUUUGCACUUACCGAUGAUUUGGUGGGUUCCUGAAGUUGUUGUAGUCCUGCCUUGUUGUGGUCCCAGAUGAUCUCCUUUGGUAUUCCUAGUUGACCCAGGAGAGGAGAGGAGAGGAGAGAAACACAGCUGCUGCUCCAUAGCCCUGCCUCCGACCAAGAGAAAUUGAGAAAAGAGGAAGAGAUAGGGAGAGAAAAACAUAGACACCUGCAGAUCUACUUCAUCACUUGUGAAGUACCUCCCCACACCCUGGCCUGCAGGUGGGAAGCAGGGGAUUGAACCUGGGUCCUUGCACAUGGCAACAACAUGUAUCCUCAACUAGGUACACCACAACCCAGCCCCUCAAGACUCACUGACCUAGAACAACUUCUUCAGUUGCUACAUAUGAUCUAGGUCAUUAAUGUUAAUAUCUCCUCUUCUAAAGCAACUCCUGGAAUAACAAUAAAACACAUGUCCUAACUGA